GACGAACGCUGGCGGCGUGCUUAACACAUGCAAGUCGAAGAUAGUGGCGAACGGGUGAGUAAUACGGGGGUAACCUGCCGUCCUUUUUGGGAUAAGCCUUGGAAACGGGGUCUAAUAACGACGAAAGGGGGAUGGGGUCGAGGCGUGUCAGCUGGUUGGUGGGGUGAUGGCCUACCAAGGCGGGGACUGGUAGACGGCCUGAGAAGCGGACCGGCCACAUCGGUACUGUGAAGCCUCCCACGCGCCUACGGGGGGCAGAAGAUGGGGCUAUUGCACCAUGGGCGAAGGCGUGAUGCAGCGUCGAUGCGUGGGGGAUGAAGGCUUUCGGGUUGUAAACCUGUUUCGGUAUCGAAUGGUUAGGUGGAGAAGAAGCGCCGGCUAACUACGUGCCAGCAGCCGCGGUAAUAC
rnacentral:rRNA from 1 species